rnacentral:misc_RNA from 1 species
AAAAAAUAAAAGUUGGAUUGGAGCUAAAAUGGUCGUGUUCUACAAUGAAAUCCCAAGAACAGCGCUUUUUGCAGGUGUAUUUUUUCAUACUUGAAUUCAUUUUGUUUCAUUUUGACUACUUUUUUGUCUUGCAAAACAAUUGUAGUCUAGUUCUUUGAUUGUAAAGCGCUUGUUCAAAUACUGUAUUUGUAUUUAUAAAUUCGUAAUCAGACACCGUAAUAUUGGAACAUAUGUGGUGCAUGAUAUUGCUGUUCAUCUGGUUUUUGGUAGUCUAACUGGCUAAUGUAUCAUUAUUUGAUAGUUUUUCCUAAUAAAUUACGGGUUGCAUCUUAAAAGAAGAACAAUAGGAAUUCUAUAAAUCAACUGGGAAAUGGGUCUACG